AAUAGAUACCCCGGUAGUCCACGCCGUAAACGAUGAGUGCUAAGUGUUAGAGGGUUUCCGCCCUUUAGUGCUGCAGCUAACGCAUUAAGCACUCCGCCUGGGGAGUACGGCCGCAAGGCUGAAACUCAAAGGAAUUGACGGGGGCCCGCACAAGCGGUGGAGCAUGUGGUUUAAUUCGAAGCAACGCGAAGAACCUUACCAGGUCUUGACAUCCUCUGACAACCCUAGAGAUAGGGCUUUCCCCUUCGGGGGACAGAGUGACAGGUGGUGCAUGGUUGUCGUCAGCUCGUGUCGUGAGAUGUUGGGUUAAGUCCCGCAACGAGCGCAACCCUUGAUCUUAGUUGCCAGCAUUCAGUUGGGCACUCUAAGGUGACUGCCGGUGACAAACCGGAGGAAGUGGGGAUGACGUCAAAUCAUCAUGCCCCUUAUGACCUGGGCUACACACGUGCUACAAUGGAUGGUACAAAGGGCUGCAAACCUGCGAAGGUAAGCGAAUCCCAUAAAGCCAUUCUCAGUUCGGAUUGCAGG
rnacentral:rRNA from 1 species